AUAUGGUAUAUUAUAAACUCCAGAGUAACUGUAUUUGUGCAGAAAUCACCAGCAAGUGGUUAUUAUGUAACCCUGUAUGUUUUCUAUAUAAGAGUUUAUGUAUACAAUGAGGCUGACUGUCUUUAAUUUAAGAAAACUGGUUUUGCUUUCUGAAGUCUUUCUUUAUGACUUUUUAGAUACACGAUCAGGAGAAAAUUAUUUUGUCUAAAAACUUUGCUCUACAAGAGCACAACAAUCUUUUUUUUCUUUUAUGCUGCUUCUUGUAUGACAUAACAACUAUGUUUUUCAGAAAUUGGCUUUGUCUCUUAUGUUCUGGGUUGCCUGUAUGUCCAAGAGGAGGUAAAAAUGAUUGCUGUGAGAGCAACUGAGAGUGGCAAAUUGAGAUUUCAUUGAGUCAUUCUAUAAGCAGGAUUCUCUUUCCACACUCAUGUACAAAAGAGAAUUGGAGAAGAAUAGUCAAGUUAAAUUUUGUGAGCAUUGCAUUUAAUCAGAAAUGGUUUGAUAUGUUUUGGUAAGCAAGCCAUUAUUCAAAGUAGGUCAAAUAGUGUGUAUUUGCAUACAAGGCAUAUUAAGGCCACACAAGUAACCUCCAUUCCUCCAAAGUUAGUUUAGGUAACUAUGUUAAGAAACUAGGACAUAUGUUAAGAAUAUAUUUAUUUUGUGUGUCUUAUUUUUGAUUACCAACAGAAUGCUUGUUGCUAAGCGGGGUAGAGCAUUUCUUCUUGAUACAUUUUUAAUUUUUUUUUAAUCUAAAAAACCCUUAAUUCAUAUAUGUCAUAGAAUCAUAGAAUUGCACUGGUUGGAAAAGACGUUAAAGAUCAUCGAGUUCCACCACGACCAAACCAUGCUACCCUAACAGCCCUCCACUAAAUCGUGUCCCUGAGCAAACUAGUGUAAUUCACUAGUUCAGUGAAUAAUUGUUUUUUACCUUUGAUCUUAGGGGAGCUUUGUUAUUGCUUUUUAAAUGAUUUUUUAAAUUGUCUUUUCACUGUAUCCAAGAACUUUGGAUCAAUGAAUCUAAAUCAAAAAUCAAUGAAUCUACCCAUGACUAUAAAUCACUUUGAGACUUGGAAGUCGUUAAGAGUUUUGCUUUAUAAACCAGAAAGAUUAUUAAUCCAUUCAGAUCUUCUGGACGGUAUUUAUCGUACUAUUGAACCAAAAAGUUAUGGGGAAAUCUUGCUUUCUUAAAGCCUGAUGCUUUUCUAAAUCAAGAUUGAUUGUCUCUUAGAUGUAGGAUAAUUGAUCACACAUUUGGAUUUUUUUUUCUCUGUGUUUUAAUUGUACCUGCUUUCAUUUCUUGCUUCUGGUUUUAAUUAUAUUGUUUCCUUUCAUUUAAAAUGUGAUUUGCACAGUACGGUGAGGCAAACUAGAGAUAGGAGUAUGAGUAAUGGAUGCCAGCUAUUCUGGAAAGUAAUCCUAGAAAAUUGGUGGCCUCAGAUAGCAUUUGUAAAUGAGAAUCUUAGAGUUGACUCAAGAGUCUGAAUGUUCAUGAGUGGCCUGUGUAGCUUCAUCAGUUGUGAUGUGCCUCUUCAGAAGGGAGACUACUGCAUUGUAGAUUCUUCGGCUUGUCUUUGCCCAGGAGCACCUGCCUUGUUGGUGGUUCUUUGUUCAUUAAUCUCUUUGUUGUGCACUUGAUUGCUCAGGACUUACAUGAGAUCAUAAUGGAAUAGGCAGUCAUGUAAUAUGCAGAAAAUGCAAAGCUCUGCGCAGUCUUCAUCUUAGCUACAAUUCAUACUCACCAGUGGUUGAUGCAGAUUUUGAAAGACCAGUGAGAAUUAAUCAGAAACAGGUCUGUAGUUCUAAAGGAGGUGCAGUCCUGCAAUAAUCAGGAGCAAGGUUCAUGAGCUCAUGGUAAUGAUGUUCCACCAGCAGACCAAAUUGACAAGUCUGUAAUGAAGAGGCAAAUCCAAGGGCAAGCUAGCAGGUAAGGAUCUACCUGCUAGCUUGGAGGGAGGUACUUGGGUGGGCCUGGGCAUACUUGCAGCAUAGCUUAGAGGAGGAUCAAGGGUGAUGCAGUUCCCAGUCAAAGCCUUUGGCAGAGCUUUCCAGAGCUUUUUCACACAACUCUUCUCGUAGCAGUCCGGUACCCAAUUACUUGGCUGUACUCUGCUAGAGCUGGCUUUAAGUACAGGCAAUGAAACCCUUGGCAAAGGAAGAGGUAGCAGAGCCUGUUAGUGUACUUAGAGAUUUGGCAUGAAGCAUGUUCAGAUUCUUGGGAUUGAUAAAAAGCAUUGAUAAAAGACUAGGAGGGAAAGAUUUGAGAGCUUCAACAGAAGCUGACAUAUUAAUGCAGCAUCAUUGCAACUAAUUAACUUCAUAAUGCAGCCAAAAAAGGCAUUUAUUAGGGUAUCAUUUUUGUUACAUCAACUUUUAUUUAGCUAACCACACCACUUUCCAUACUACAGGAAUCAUUGUUGAUUCAGUAUGGCCAUUCCUAGAAGCUGAGCAGCUGCUGAGGUAUUUUUUUGUAUUUAAGAUUCCUGCUCUGAGGUAAGUGACUGUAUGCUGUAGCCUUCUGGAAACCCUGACUUUUUGUAUGUAUGAAAUUUAGUGGUGAUAAUCAGUUAGGAAAAAGAAAAAAAAAAAAAAAGAAAAAGCUCACUGUGAGUAACUUCCCUUUUAGAGGUUAAAUGUGAGUGGAAUUGUGGAAUACUAGCAAGAGACUGAAUCUGAUGUACUUGAGUACUUGAGCUUAUACUUGAGUACUUCUUUAUUCCACAAGCACUGUUGUUUACAUCAGGCCUUCAGUCAUUCAGCUAACAAUGAACCAGAAUUUCUUGUGUAACUUUCUUUUAAAAAUGCUGUUAACAGACCAAGAAGCAGUUCCUGUGGCUGCAUAAUUGUUUGAAAUGGAGGGCAUUCUCCAGUUUACACACAACAGGAGUGCUAUGCUCCUCAACUGUGGCAAAGAGGUUCUGCUGGCCAGCAAAACUCCAUGCUUCACUCUCUAACCAUCUCCUCACUUAGCAGAUGAUGGGUGAUGUGAAGCACUCAGUCUCUAUUUUGUCUUUUGGCCCAGGAGGUUAUGAGGAUAUUUCAGAAGUGAUUCCAUUCUCUCAGGGAUGCCAUGACAUCACAGAACUUGCCUUCCCAGGCCCAAGAUGAUGCGUUGGGCAGUGGCAUGAUUUACCAGGUUACUGUUCUGGAGGGACUUCAAUCACACAGCUAGCUUGAUUGCAGCACGUUCCACACUGCUGGGUGAGCUGUGUGGUAGCCUCGAUGGACAGGUCCAUCCCUCAGUCAAGAGCCCAUCUGUGUGUGGCAUCUCUCCACAGACACCCUGAUGUUUCAUGGAUUCACGAAGCCACAGACAGCUCCUAGUCGAAGGAGGGCCACUUCAGUUUUUGAAACCAAGUCUACUUGCUUAUUUUUCUGGUAUUCUUCAGAGGUUUGUUUCUUGAGUAUGUGAGCAUCUGUGUGCUGUACUUCUACAACAAUGUUUUCUGCUUGGACAGCAAUGCCUUGUAUGUCUUGUCACAGUGCAACAGCCCAGAUGAGUUCAUCUCUGCACCACUACUGUUCUGCUUCCAUUGCUGUAGCCACUCCCACAGGGUAUUUGGCACAAUCCAUGACCCAUUGUAGAUUACUGUCUGCUUUCUUCUUUUGGCAAUUUUUAGGGCCAGUUGGAUGUCUUUUACCUCUGCAAAUAGGUUAAACUUGCCUUCUCCUUCAGUACCUUCCUCAUCUCAUCACGUUGGACUCUAUACAGCAGCUUACUACUUCUGAUGGGUUCCUGCAACAUGGACAGGAUCCAGCAGAGACUGAAACAUGCAAUUUCUGUCUCUUCUGUUCUUGUAGUGCUCUAGAGCUCAGGGUGUAUUUUCAUUCAAGUAUUCCAUUGGGGUUUUUUUUUACGAUUCUGCACUUCAGAGAUGAAAUUCAAAAUCAUCACAACCAUGACAGGUACUUGUUCACAUUCUCCCACAUACCUUGCCACCCAUCACCACAUUGCCUUGGCGCAGAUACCUGGUGAUAUUCUUAACUAACUGUUUAAUCCUAGGAAGAAACAGAAGCACAUGGAAGCUUAGUAAUAAGAGUGUAUUGGUUUCAUCAACAAAAAGAACUCUCUACACCAAAAUCAACCUGUCAAUGUGGACAAUUUACACAUUCUCCACCCCUCAUCCUAUUACCACAUUACUACCUCGCAUAUUCUUCACAGCUGUUACGUCAUAAAUUCUUCUGUUACAUUCUUAGUCAAUGUCCAGUCUGUGUUUUGCCCAUUACUUCUCUGCAUUAUCAUUCUUAUGUUUAAUUCCUUGAGCCCAAAGGGGAUGCCACAAACAACUGAGGUGGUUUCACACUGAUGGGCAGCCUCUCAUUCCAGCUCCUCAAAGGAAAAGGGAAGGGGAGAAAAUAUGAUGAAAUACAAAAGGCUUAUAGGUUGAGAUAAGGAUAAUGUAAGUAAGGGGGAAAGAAAGAGAAAUACAAUCAUGAUUUUAAAAAUAAAAAAAAAAAAUGGAAAAAGGAAAAGCCAUGUGGAAGAAAAGAGAGGGAAAAUAGUUAUUCUCUAUGACCUGUCACCAAAAGAUGUUUGGAAAAAUCUUGUAACACAGGACUUCAUUGCAUGUAGCAGUUAUUUGGGAGCACAGACGUUUUCAUAACAAAAGCUCUCCUCCUUCCCCUUUCCCACUUUCAUUGCUGAGCCAUGGUAUGGAAUGUGUCUUUGGUUGGUUUAGGCCAGCUGCUCUGGCAAUGUCUUCUCCUCACCUCUUGACCACCCGCCACUUGCUGGCUUUUGGGGUACUGGAGAGAGUCUUAAUAAUGGGCCGGUGCUGUGCAGCAGCAGCCAAACCAUUGGUGUGAUAUCAACAGUGUUCUGCUACAGCUCAGAGCACUCGUGGGGAGCGUUAACUCCAAGCCAACCAGACCCAGUUCUGAGGGAGUAAGAAUUUUCAAACUAUUCCAUCUUCCUUUGCGCCAACCUUUUCUGUGUGCGUGUGUUUGCGUUAGGUGGGAAAAUGAGUAAUAGACCUGAGUUCAAGGAAGAGAGACUCAAAGGGCAAACUUCCAAUUUUGUCUGCAAGUAGCAGAACAGCUUGCCUGGGGAGUCUGUGUGGUGCCCACUGGAAGAUUUGCAAUGUCAGAUGAAACAUCUGCAGGAACACCAGAGGUACAGAUGAGCGUGUCUGAGGAGGGGGAAUGGAUAUGUAAACCUGGGAGGGCCCCUCAAGCGUGGUGAUUGUAGAGUUGGUUGUAGCAGGGAACAGGCAUGCGGCAGUAAUGACUGGAGUCAUUUUUCCCUUUUGCCCCAUCCUUCAGCUGAAUUGCUCACUAGUUUUAUCUUUGUAUCUCUUUCAUGAAGAUUAAGUACUUUUUUGGUGUGCAUCCAUAGCUAAUAUAUUUUGUCUGAUCUUGGGAAGCAUGGGUUUUAUAAGAUGAAUGAAAGUGCAUAAAUCUAUUAAUAAACUUCAGCUCUUGAUCAUUA